rnacentral:tRNA from 1 species
ACUCGGUUGGCUCAGCUGGUGGAGCGUGUGACUUUUGAUCUUAGGGUUGUGGGUUUGAGCCCCACGCUGGGUG